rnacentral:sRNA from 1 species
GAUGUGAAGGGUCCUAAAAAGCUCUUUCCAGAUCUUCCAUUUGGAAACAUGGACAGUGACAGAGUAGAAGCCCGUAAGAGCCUCCUAGAAUCAUUCCUAAAGCAACUCUGUGCCAUUCCGGAGAUCGCUAACAGUGAGGAGGUGCAGGAGUUCCUUGCUCUGAACACAGAUGCUCGUAUUGCCUUUGUCAAGAAACCAUUUAUGGUAUCUAGAAUAGACAAGAUGGUGGUGAGUGCCAUUGUGGACACCUUGAAGACAGCGUUUCCUCGCUCUGAACCCCAGAGCCCCACAGAGGAGCUGAGUGAGGCCGAGACCGAAAGCAAGUCCCAGACAGAAGGCAAGAAGGCUAGCAAGUCCAGGCUGAGGUUCUCAUCCAGUAAAAUUUCUCCAGCACUAAGUGUGACUGAAGCACAAGACAAGAUUCUUUAUUGUCUCCAGGAAGGCAAUGUGGAGUCUGAGACUCUAUCCAUGUCUGGGAUGGAAUCUUUUAUUGAAAAACAGACAAAGUUACUGGAAAUGCAGCCAACAAAAGCCCCAGGAAAAGAUCCUGAACAACCUCCCAAAGGACGUGUGGACAGUUGCGUGUCAGAUGCAGCUGUGCCAGCCCAAGACCCCGGCAACAGCGAUCCAGGAACAGAGACAGAGUUAGCUGACACAGCCCUGGAUCUGCUCCUCUUGCUACUAACAGAGCAGUGGAAAUGGCUGUGUACCGAAAACAUGCAGAAGUUUCUUCGUCUUAUCUUUGGGACCCUAGUUCAAAGAGUUCUAGGGUUCUGCAGAGUGCUUCUGAAGCCA